CAGAGUUGAAAAACUCCCAAACCCUUUGUGAAUCUACCUAUUGUUGCUUCGGUAGGCGGCCCCAGGGCGGGGCCAUGGUCUGUUAGAGGCGCCUGCCGGAGGUAUAAAAUUCUAUAUGUACUGUAUCAUCUGAGCUAAAAUAAAAAUAAGUCA
rnacentral:misc_RNA from 1 species